AAAAGACCUAGCAAUAGGUAUGCUUAGGGAGGAGCUUGCGUCACAUUAGUUAGUUGGUGGGGUAAAGGCCUACCAAGACUAUGAUGUGUAGCCGGGCUGAGAGGUUGAACGGCCACAUUGGGACUGAGACACGGCCCAAACUCCUACGGGAGGCAGCAGUAGGGAAUUUUCGGCAAUGGAGGAAACUCUGACCGAGCAACGCCGCGUGAACGAUGAAGUAUUUCGGUACGUAAAGUUCUUUUAUUAGGGAAGGAAUAAAUGAUGGAAAAAUCAUUCCUGACGGUACCUAAUGAAUAAGCCCCGGCUAACUAUGUGCCAGCAGCCGCGGUAAUACAUAGGGGGCAAGCGUUAUCCGGAAUUAUUGGGCGUAAAGGGUGCGUAGGCGGUUAAAUAAGUUUAUGGUCUAAGUGCAAUGCUCAACAUUGUGAUGCUAUAAAAACUGUUUAGCUAGAGUAAGAUAGAGGCAAGCGGAAUUCCAUGUGUAGUGGUAAAAUGCGUAAAUAUAUGGAGGAACACCAGUAGCGAAGGCGGCUUGCUGGGUCUUUACUGACGCUGAGGCACGAAAGCGUGGGGAGCAAACAGGAUUAGAUACCCUGGUAGUCCACGCCGUAAACGAUGAGUACUAAACGUUGGGUAAAACCAGUGUUGAAGUUAACACAUUAAGUACUCCGCCUGAGUAGUACGUACGCAAGUAUGAAACUUAAAGGAAUUGACGGGACUCCGCACAAGCGGUGGAUCAUGUUGUUUAAUUCGAAGGUACCCGAAAAACCUCACCAGGUCUUGACAUGCUUCUGCAAAGCUGUAGAAACACAGUGGAGGUUAUCAGUUGCACAGGUGGUGCAUGGUUGUCGUCAGCUCGUGUCGUGAGAUGUUGGGUUAAGUCCCGCAACGAGCGCAACCCUUAUUGUUAGUUACCAGCACGUAAUGGUGGGGACUUUAGCAAGACUGCCAGUGAUAAAUUGGAGGAAGGUGGGGACGACGUCAAAUCAUCAUGCCCCUUAUGACCUGGGCUACAAACGUGAUACAAUGGCUGUUACAAAGGGUAGCUGAAGCGCAAGUUUUUGGCGAAUCUCAAAAAAACAGUCUCAGUUCGGAUUGAAGUCUGCAACUCGACUUCAUGAAGUUGGAAUCGCUAGUAAUCGCGAAUCCAGCAUGUC
rnacentral:rRNA from 1 species